rnacentral:rRNA from 1 species
UUCGCAAUGCCCGAAAGGGUGACGAAGCGACGCCGCGUGAGCGAAGAAGGCCCUAGGGUUGUAAAGCUCUGUCAGGGGUUAAGAAAUGUAGGCAGGUUAAUACCCUGUUUAUUUGACAAAAGCCCCAAAGGAAGCCACGGCUAACUCUGUGCCAGCAGCCGCGGUAAUACAGAGGUGGCAAGCGUUGUUCGGUAUUAUUGGGCGUAAAGAGCACGUAGGUGGUUUUGUAAGUCAGAUGUGAAAGCCUUCUGUUCAAAGGAAGAACGGCAUCUGAUACUGCUGAUCUUGAGUAUAGGAGGGGAGAGUGGAACUUCUGGUGGAGCGGUGAAAUGCGUAGAUAUCAGAAGGAACGUCGGCGGCGAAAGCGACUCUCUGGCCUAUUACUGACACUGAGUGUGCGAAAGUUAGGGGAGCAAACGGGAUUAGAUACCCCGGUAGUCCUAACCGUAAACGAUGGGCACUAAGUAGAGGGGUUUU